AUGUUGGCAUUAUAGAAUAUCACAUCAGACAACUCAGUAAACGGCUGGACAGUAGCUAGAUAGCAUGGUCCUUGGGAGUAUCUGCUGCCUGUGACUUGUAUGGGUUUCCCUAAGGGACCCUGGACAUAGUC